UACAGAGGUCUCAAGCGUUGUUCGGAUUCAUUGGGCGUAAAGGGUGUGUAGGUGGCGCCGUAAGUCGGGUGUGAAAUUUCGGAGCUUAACUCCGAAACUGCAUUCGAUACUGCGGUGCUUGAGGACUGGAGAGGAGACUGGAAUUACGGUGUAGCGGUGAAAUGCGUAGAUAUCGUAAGGAAGACCAGUGGCGAAGGCGGGUCUCUGGACAGUUCCUGACGCUGAGGCACGAAGGCCAGGGAGCAAACGGG
rnacentral:rRNA from 1 species